rnacentral:rRNA from 1 species
GCGACCCAGGUCAGGCGGGACUACCCGCUGAGUUAAGCAUAUCAAAAACCGG